CAGUAGCCGCGGUAAUACGUAGGUGGCGAGCGUUGUCCGGAAUCAUUGGGCGUAAAGGGAGCGCAGGCGGGCAUGUAAGUCUUUCUUAAAAGUUCGGGGCUCAACCCCGUGAUGGGAAAGAAACUACAUGUCUUGAGUACAGGAGAGGAAAGCGGAAUUCCCAGUGUAGCGGUGAAAUGCGUAGAUAUUGGGAGGAACACCAGUGGCGAAGGCGGCUUUCUGGACUGUAACUGACGCUGAGGCUCGAAAGCCAGGGGAGCGAACGGGAUUAGAUACCCCCGUAGUCCCUGUCUCUUAUACC
rnacentral:rRNA from 1 species